rnacentral:rRNA from 1 species
UACGUAGGGGGCAAGCGUUGUCCGGAUUUAUUGGGCGUAAAGAGCGUGUAGGCGGCCAUACAGGUCCGUUGUGAAAACUGGAGGCUUAACCUCCAGACGUCGAUGGAAACCGUAUGGCUAGAGUCCGGAAGAGGAGAGUGGAAUUCCUGGUGUAGCGGUGAAAUGCGCAGAUAUCAGGAGGAACACCGGUGGCGAAGGCGGAUCUCUGGGCCUGUCCUGACGCUGAGGCGCGAAAGCUAGGGGAGCGAACAGG